rnacentral:rRNA from 1 species
AGUGAACGCUGGCGGUAGGCCUAACACAUGCAAGUCGAGCGGCAGCACAGUAAGAGCUUGCUCUUACGGGUGGCGAGUGGCGGACGGGUGAGGAAUACAUCGGAAUCUACUUUUUCGUGGGGGAUAACGUAGGGAAACUUACGCUAAUACCGCAUACGACCUACGGGUGAAAGCAGGGGAUCUUCGGACCUUGCGCGAUUGAAUGAGCCGAUGUCGGAUUAGCUAGUUGGCGGGGUAAAGGCCCACCAAGGCGACGAUCCGUAGCUGGUCUGAGAGGAUGAUCAGCCACACUGGAACUGGGACACGGUCCAGACUCCUACGGGAGGCAGCAGUGGGGAAUAUUGGACAAUGGGCGCAAGCCUGAUCCAGCCAUACCGCGUGGGUGAAGAAGGCCUUCGGGUUGUAAAGCCCUUUUGUUGGGAAAGAAAAGCAGCAGGUUAAUACCCCGCUGUUCUGACGGUACCCAAAGAAUAAGCACCGGCUAACUUCGU